rnacentral:rRNA from 1 species
UACUCCCGCCGGCGACCGGCGCACGGGUGAGUAACACGUAUGAAACCUGCCCGUAGCAGGGGGAUAAGCGGAAGAAAUUCCGUCUAAUACCGCGUAACAACCCGAGGAGGCAUCUCCUCGGGUUUAAAGGAAGCGAUUCCGGCUACGGAUGGUCAUGCGUCGCAUUAGCUAGUUGGCGGGGUAACGGCCCACCAAGGCGACGAUGUCUAGGGGUUCUGAGAGGAAGGUCCCCCACACUGGUACUGAGACACGGACCAGACUCCUACGGGAGGCAGCAG